UUUGGUUAAGUUAGAAAGGGCGCACGGUGGAUGCCUUGACACUAGGAGUCGAUGAAGGACGGGACUAACGCCGAUAUGCUUCGGGGAGCUGUAAGUAAGCUUUGAUCCGAAGAUUUCCGAAUGGGGAAACCCACCAUACGUAAUGGUAUGGUAUCCUUAUCUGAAUACAUAGGGUAAGGAAGACAGACCCAGGGAACUGAAACAUCUAAGUACCUGGAGGAAGAGAAAGCAAAUGCGAUUUCCUGAGUAGCGGCGAGCGAAACGGAACAUAGCCCAAACCAAGAGGCUUGCCUCUUGGGGUUGUAGGACAUUCUAUACGGAGUUACAAAGGAACGAGGUAGACGAAGCGACCUGGAAAGGUCCGUCGUAGAGGGUAACAACCCCGUAGUCGAAACUUCGUUCUCUCUUGAAUGUAUCCUGAGUACGGCGGAACACGUGAAAUUCCGUCGGAAUCUGGGAGGACCAUCUCCCAAGGCUAAAUACUCCCUAGUGAUCGAUAGUGAACCAGUACCGUGAGGGAAAGGUGAAAAGCACCCCGGAAGGGGAGUGAAAGAGAUCCUGAAACCGUGUGCCUACAAAUAGUCAGAGCCCGUUAACGGGUGAUGGCGUGCCUUUUGUAGAAUGAACCGGCGAGUUACGAUCCCGUGCGAGGUUAAGCUGAAGAGGCGGAGCCGCAGCGAAAGCGAGUCUGAAUAGGGCGUUUAGUACGUGGUCGUAGACCCGAAACCAGGUGAUCUACCCAUGUCCAGGGUGAAGUUCAGGUAACACUGAAUGGAGGCCCGAACCCACGCACGUUGAAAAGUGCGGGGAUGAGGUGUGGGUAGCGGAGAAAUUCCAAUCGAACCUGGAGAUAGCUGGUUCUCCCCGAAAUAGCUUUAGGGCUAGCCUUAAGUGUAAGAGUCUUGGAGGUAGAGCACUGAUUGGACUAGGGGUCCUCAUCGGAUUACCGAAUUCAGUCAAACUCCGAAUGCCAAUGACUUAUCCUUAGGAGUCAGACUGCGAGUGAUAAGAUCCGUAGUCAAAAGGGAAACAGCCCAGACCGCCAGCUAAGGUCCCAAAGUGUGUAUUAAGUGGAAAAGGAUGUGGAGUUGCUUAGACAACUAGGAUGUUGGCUUAGAAGCAGCCACCAUUUAAAGAGUGCGUAAUAGCUCACUAGUCGAGUGACUCUGCGCCGAAAAUGUACCGGGGCUAAAUACACCACCGAAGCUGCGGAUUGAUACCAAUGGUAUCAGUGGUAGGGGAGCGUUCUAAGGACAGUGAAGUCAGACCGGAAGGACUGGUGGAGUGCUUAGAAGUGAGAAUGCCGGUAUGAGUAGCGAAAGACGGGUGAGAAUCCCGUCCACCGAAUGCCUAAGGUUUCCUGAGGAAGGCUCGUCCGCUCAGGGUUAGUCAGGACCUAAGCCGAGGCCGACAGGCGUAGGCGAUGGACAACAGGUUGAUAUUCCUGUACCACCUCUUUAUCGUUUGAGCAAUGGAGGGACGCAGAAGGAUAGAAGAAGCGUGCGAUUGGUUGUGCACGUCCAAGCAGUUAGGCUGAUAAGUAGGCAAAUCCGCUUAUCGUGAAGGCUGAGCUGUGAUGGGGAAGCUCCUUAUGGAGCGAAGUCUUUGAUUCCCCGCUGCCAAGAAAAGCUUCUAGCGAGAUAAAAGGUGCCUGUACCGCAAACCGACACAGGUAGGCGAGGAGAGAAUCCUAAGGUGUGCGAGAGAACUCUGGUUAAGGAACUCGGCAAAAUGACCCCGUAACUUCGGGAGAAGGGGUGCUUUCUUAACGGAAAGCCGCAGUGAAUAGGCCCAAGCGACUGUUUAGCAAAAACACAGCUCUCUGCGAAGCCGUAAGGCGAAGUAUAGGGGGUGACACCUGCCCGGUGCUGGAAGGUUAAGGAGAGGGGUUAGCGUAAGCGAAGCUCUGAACUGAAGCCCCAGUAAACGGCGGCCGUAACUAUAACGGUCCUAAGGUAGCGAAAUUCCUUGUCGGGUAAGUUCCGACCCGCACGAAAGGUGUAACGAUUUGGGCACUGUCUCAACCAGAGACUCGGUGAAAUUAUAGUACCUGUGAAGAUGCAGGUUACCCGCGACAGGACGGAAAGACCCCGUGGAGCUUUACUGUAGCCUGAUAUUGAAUUUUGGUACAGUUUGUACAGGAUAGGCGGGAGCCAUUGAAACCGGAGCGCUAGCUUCGGUGGAGGCGCUGGUGGGAUACCGCCCUGACUGUAUUGAAAUUCUAACCUACGGGUCUUAUCGACCCGGGAGACAGUGUCAGGUGGGCAGUUUGACUGGGGCGGUCGCCUCCUAAAGUGUAACGGAGGCGCCCAAAGGUUCCCUCAGAAUGGUUGGAAAUCAUUCGUAGAGUGCAAAGGCAUAAGGGAGCUUGACUGCGAGACCUACAAGUCGAGCAGGGACGAAAGUCGGGCUUAGUGAUCCGGUGGUUCCGCAUGGAAGGGCCAUCGCUCAACGGAUAAAAGCUACCCCGGGGAUAACAGGCUUAUCUCCCCCAAGAGUCCACAUCGACGGGGAGGUUUGGCACCUCGAUGUCGGCUCAUCGCAUCCUGGGGCUGUAGUCGGUCCCAAGGGUUGGGCUGUUCGCCCAUUAAAGCGGUACGCGAGCUGGGUUCAGAACGUCGUGAGACAGUUCGGUCCCUAUCCGUCGUGGGCGUAGGAAAUUUGAGAGGAGCUGUCCUUAGUACGAGAGGACCGGGAUGGACGCACCGCUGGUGUACCAGUUGUUCUGCCAAGGGCAUAGCUGGGUAGCUAUGUGCGGAAGGGAUAAGUGCUGAAAGCAUCUAAGCAUGAAGCCCCCCUCAAGAUGAGAUUUCCCAUAGCGUAAGCUAGUAAGAUCCCUGAAAGAUGAUCAGGUUGAUAGGUUCGAGGUGGAAGCAUGGUGACAUGUGGAGCUGACGAAUACUAAUAGAUCGAGGACUUAACCAUA
rnacentral:rRNA from 1 species